UGGUGGAUUGCUCUGUCUGGUUUAUUCCGUUAACGAACGAGACCUUAACCUGCUAAAUAGUUACGUGAAUCUCACAAUUGAUUCACGGCUUAUACUUCUUAGAGGGACUAUCGGUGACUAACCGAUGGAAGUUUGAGGCAAUAACA
rnacentral:rRNA from 1 species